rnacentral:rRNA from 1 species
UCGAGAAUCUUCGGCAAUGGACGCAAGUCUGACCGAGCGAUGCCGCGUGCGGGAUGAAGGCCUUCGGGUUGUAAACCGCUGUCAGUUGGGAGGAAAUCUAUGGGGGUCAUCCCCUGUAGUUGACCUAUCUUCAGAGGAAGUACGGGCUAAGUUCGUGCCAGCAGCCGCGGUAACACGAACCGUACGAACGUUAUUCGGAAUCACUGGGCUUAAAGGGUGCGUAGGCGGCUUGGCAAGUUGGGUGUGAAAGCCCUCGGCUCAACCGAGGAAUUGCGCUCAAAACUGCCAAGCUAGAGGGAGAUAGAGGUGAGCGGAACUUAUGGUGGAGCGGUGAAAUGCGUUGAUAUCAUAAGGAACACCUGUGGCGAAAGCGGCUCACUGGAUCUCUUCUGACGCUGAGGCACGAAAGCUAGGGGAGCGAACGGGAUUAGAUACCCCCGUAGUCC